GACAGAGGUCUCAAGCGUUGUUCGGAUUCAUUGGGCGUAAAGGGUGCGUAGGUGGCGGGGUAAGUCAGGUGUGAAAUCUCGAGGCUCAACCUCGAAACUGCACUUGAUACUGCCUUGCUUGGAGUACUGGAGAGGAGAUUGGAAUUUACGGUGUAGCAGUGAAAUGCGUAGAUAUCGUAAGGAAGACCAGUGGCGAAGGCGAAUCUCUGGACAGUUACUGACACUGAGGCACGAAGGCCAGGGGAGCAAACGGG
rnacentral:rRNA from 1 species